rnacentral:rRNA from 1 species
GAUGAACGCUGGCGGCGUGCCUAAUACAUGCAAGUCGAGCGAACAGACGAGGAGCUUGCUCCUCUGACGUUAGCGGCGGACGGGUGAGUAACACGUGGAUAACCUACCUAUAAGACUGGGAUAACUUCGGGAAACCGGAGCUAAUACCGGAUAAUAUAUUGAACCGCAUGGUUCAAUAGUGAAAGACGGUUUUGCUGUCACUUAUAGAUGGAUCCGCGCCGCAUUAGAUAGUUGGUAAGGUAACGGCUUACCAAGGCAACGAUGCGUAGCCGACCUGAGAGGGUGAUCGGCCACACUGGAACUGAGACACGGUCCAGACUCCUAAGGGAGGCAGCAGUAGGGAAUCUUCCGCAAUGGGCGAAAGCCUGACGGAGCAACGCCGCGUGAGUGAUGAAGGUCUUCGGAUCGUAAAACUCUGUUAUGAGGGAAGAACAAAUGUGUAAGUAACUAUGCACGUCUUGACGGUACCUAAUCAGAAAGCCACGGCUAACUACGUG